CGUACAAAGUCAUCCCGAGUCGGGGCAAAGCUACAUCUCAGCGGUGUACAACGACAGUGUAGCGGCGAGAGACGGACGGUUGCGGCGCGGUGACGUCAUCCUGCAGGUAAACGAUGAGAACGUGACUUCAAUGAAGACACCAGAGGUGAUAGACUUGCUCCGAAUACUGAGGGGAUCUAUCUGCAUCACAGUUCUAAGACCGCCUAACGCACAAUAAAAGCAAAAAAGCACCCUAUCUCAUUAGCCACAGAGCUGAAAAUGAAACGAGACUUCACGCUGUAACGGAAGGCCUUUUGAAACAAAAGGCAACUGCGUCGUUGCUCUAGUGAUGUUGUUGGUGCGAUAAUCUAAUUAUCGAUAUUAAGUAAUCUCGUAUGAAUAAAUCAAAUCAAGUAUAGUUUCAUCAGUUUUAACUUCUUAUUGAUCAAUCAUUUUGGUGCAUGUAAGAAUGAAAUUAUUUAUAAAAAUAGAGGAAAUUCUUUCGGAAUGAAAAUUGAAUAUACUUUAAAGUAUUUAGCAAAAUCAUUACCAGGCAUCGGAAUAUUAUGGAUAUGACAAUAAAAUUCAAUUACAUACAACAUUAACUUCACCGUCAGUCGAACUAGAAAUUAUAAUACAAAAUACCUAUUUGAUUGACUAAUUAUAAUUAUAAGCCCACUGUAAAGUAAACAUUUUGAAGUUCCUAAUAUUCCUAAAACUAGCUAAAACAAAAAUGACACCCUGAAAACAUUUCUUAUAUUAAACGAGUUACCUAAUUAAGUGUAGGAGUGACGGAAUUGAUCUCUGUUUGUAAUCUCAUGAAUGUUAGGUAUUCAGAAAAUUAGUGUUAAAGUUAAGCCUCGAAAGUCUUGCCCGACCAAAAAAUACACAACGAAAUCAAUGGAUUACGAUUUUAUUUUUAUUGAAGUACAAUAAUUGAAUUUCUUUGCAAAUUUUAUUAACAAAAGCUAUUUGUUCGAUAUUUUAAAUGAACUCUGAAUAUUUGACGUCGAAUAUCGAUAUCGGCAAAGUCUUUGAUGCAGCACUACCAUCAGAGAUUUUCUUCAUCCAAUUUCUAAAGCAGUUACUUGGUUUUAUGCUGCCCAAAUAGAACUAGAGUUUAUUUUUUAUUUAUGUCUAAAUUUGGCUUCGAAGAACGCAGAAACUGUUAGCAAUUAAGUAAUUUAGUAAUUGGAUGACCUAUAGUCAGUCAUUGUGACCAUACAAAACACAAUGUUUAUCACGUAUAUACUACACUAAUAUCAAUUAUAACAAUAAAUAGCACAAUACGCGUUUUAUUGUAGAAAAUUGUAAGAGAUAUUAGCAUUCCACGAAUUAAUUACUGUAAAUAGUGUAAAUUAAAAGACAGUAUGUAAACGUAGUGUCUACUGUUGUUUUAAAUUUUAAUGUAUUAUGAAUGAAAUAAAACAAUUUGAGGGAAAUCGUAACACCCAAAUAUGUAUGACUGGGUCUCAGAUAAUGUAUUUUUGAUCAAGAUUAAAUUAUUUAUUCGUUAAAAUGCUAUAAUGUUUAAUCUGCCUCCAAUAUUCCUGCCUGAAUGUAUAUUUUUAUCAAAUAUUAAAAAUACUGCUUGCUCACAGACAAAUAGUGGAAAAUUUUGCAAGAAAAUGUAUAUUUUCGAUUACAUACAUAAAGGAUUACUUUGAGACAAUAGGGAUGAUGACACUACUGUCAUUUUUUCAACCAAUAUCAGGAAAGAAUACAUUUAAGUGUGAAAACAUUUUUUUAAAGUUAAUUUGUACGAACUACGAAUAAAAUUCGUUUAUGAUUUGGCCAAUCGCUAACGCUGUAUUACCAGAAUAAUAUUAUGACUAUACUUAAUGUGACUUUUUUUUCAAUAGUUUUUGUAAAUGGUGUCAUCAUACCUAAAUGUAAGUACCUACUUGGCCUCUUGAUAAAAAUAAUUUGAUCUAGGUAGGAACUUUCUACUAGCAUUACUUUAAUUUCAUUAAAUUGAAAUAACUCCAUAGCAAUGAAGUAGGUAACCGUUAUUGAUUACAAGUAAUUCGUACAAAUUAAUUAUUUUUAUGCAAAACAUGAGUUAUUACAAAGUAUCUUAGGUUUUGAAAUUCUAGAUGGAAUCAAGUUAAAUUUUGUAAUUUUUCGAGUUACGCAUUUCGAAAAUUACACCUAUGUCACAUAAUAUGUAUUUAAAUGAUGUAAAAAGUGGUAACCUCUGAGGUCAUACGCGUUAAAAUAGGCCUAUGGGUCAUAGAUGGACCUGAGUAAAUCUUCCAAAACUUGUAAAACACUAUAGUACUCUAUGAUAUUCGACCUAACAUGUUAUUAUAGCUAUAUUUCUUUAUCUAGGCACUGAUAAUAAUCUAGUCAAAUCUAAAUUUUAAUUCUAUUUAUCACAGUUAGCCCUCUUAGAAAUCCUUAAAUAUAUUUAAAAGUACGUUAAUUAUCUAAAGUACAGAGACGUCAUUCUAAUUGAUUUCUCAGAUUAGUAAAAAUGUUAUUACCUUGAAAGAUUUUAUUGACAAAUCAACUGAAGAAAUCUAUUUUAAUAAUUAUAAAUAAAUUAUAAUGUAGUUAACGUAGGUAGAAGUAAAGAUAUUUACAGAUGUGUAACAUUAACGAAUCAAUCAACUGAUAUUCUAAAAUAAUUGUGAUGGUUUAUGUUAGUAUACUGUGUAUUGUAAAGUCUAGAUGUACGAAAAAGAUUAUUAAUAUACGAUGUACGUGCAUAUAGACCUGGCCCAGUUAUAUUGUUUCCAAAAGGUUAGUAAACUGCAUACCUCACACUGUUGUAAAUAGAAGUAACUUAAAUGUAUAUUUUUAUGAAACCUGGUCAUUCUGUAAAUCUGUAGCUUGUAUUAAAUAAGCCUACUUAUUAUAUCACCAUACAAUAAGUUUGUUUGUAUUUAUUAUCAUUUAACCUACGUUAUAAUUCAUUUAAAAAAAUUUGAAGAUAUGUUUCAAAUAAUUAAUAAAUUCUAAGUCAUCACGGAAUGCCUGAGUAGAAUAUGUAGAAGUAGUAACAUGACAAAUGGAAUGAAAUAUUAAACAUGGAUUAUUAUCAUACAUAUCCAUUUAACUUAAUAUAUGGUAUGGAAAUAUCUUUCUAAGGUCAUUUGGUCGGUCGAUAAGAGAUUGAGGUAACAUAUUUCCAUUUAGAGGUAUGAUUUAUUUUAAGAGGUGCGCUCUACAAGUUGGAAAAUACAGAAUACUUCCAACACAUGAUUUUUAUGAUAGAGAUGGGAAUCAAUCAUUUCUUUGUAUUUGACUAAUGUUCAUCUGAUAUAAAUAUUUUUUACAAUCAUCUAUGAUUUAACCUCUAAAUUGUUAACGGCCGACCAUUUGGUCUCGUUUGAUCUAAUCACCCCACAGUUGGCUUAAACUCUUUUGCAAUUAAAAUAAUCUUUAUCCAUUUUGUAAAUAUUGAAAGCUUCUACGCCUAUCUUAGCAACUGAUUUGAUAUAUCUCACACGUACCUAUGUAAGCACUUAAUUGUAAUGUAAAAGAGUAAAUAUGCGCUCAAAUACACGUGAAAAAGUUUGGGGGAAAAUAUUUAAUGGCAAAAAGUAAUUUAUUUAUACAUGCCGCACAUCAAACACCUCUGAAAACAGCUAAUAUGAAACUGCUACUAUUAUACGGUGGCUCUCCUUCAUGUAAUAAAGUUUAAACCUUUAACCCUUUGUUAAUGGAGAACUAACUUCGUCAACUACAAUUUGUAGAAGUCCUAAAUACAAAUUACAAAUGACCAUCGCCAUAAGGUUUGUCACACAUUAAAUUCGUAUCUCAUCAUUUAUCUUGCAAGUUUUAAUGAUGAUUCAAUCGAUAUAAAUAAAAAACCUCAUAAAACUUAAAUAAGGUAGUCUCUCAAGGAGCACUUUUGCACUGAAUUAAAUUUAAAUGAGGUGCAGUGUUUCCAAUUCGGCGACUAACAAUCCAUAUAGUAAUAUGAAGAUUUAUUAUGUUUGUGGUGCUCAAUGUAUGUUAGAUGCCCGCGUGCUUGCUAGUCUACCCUACAACUGGGCCGUAGUGAAGGUGAGAACGUUAUGUUACGGAAUACAGUCAUAUAAGUUGGGAUGUACCAUAUACUUAAAUACGAGUAAAUACUAUAGUUAUAAAUAAAUAUAAUUUAAAUUA